GGGGUAUGGUGGAAUGGUAGACACAACAGACUUAAAAUCUGUCGGCAAAUUGUCGUGCGAGUUCAAGUCUCGCUACCCCC
rnacentral:tRNA from 1 species